rnacentral:rRNA from 1 species
GACGAACGCUGGCGGCGUGCUUAACACAUGCAAGUCGAACGGAAAGGCCCUGCUUUUGUGGGUUUCUCGAGUGGCGAACGUGUGAGUAACACGUGUGUAACCUGCCCUUGACUUUGUGAUAACUUCUGGAAACUUUUGCUAAUACCGGCUAUUAUCUCCUGCUGCAUUUUGGUUUUUUGUUAGUUUCGGCGGUUGGGGAUGGACUCGCGGCUUAUCAGCUUGUUGGUGGGGUAGUGGCUUACCAAGGCUUUGACGGGUAGCCGGCCUGAGAGGGUGACCGGCCACAUUGGGACUGAGAUACGGCCCAGACUCCUACGGGAGGCAGCAGUGGGGAAUAUUGCAAAAUGGGCGGAAGCCUGAUGCAGCAACGCCGCGUGCGGGAUGACGGCCUUCGGGUUGUAAACCGCUUUCGCCUGUGACGAAGCGUGAGUGACGGUAAUGGGUAAAGAAGCACCGGCUAACUACGUG